AAUGAACGUUGGCGGCGUGGAUUAGGCAUGCAAGUCGUGCGAUAACCGUAGCAAUACGGGGAAAGCGGCGAAAGGGAGAGUAACGCGUGGAUCACCUACCCUCGGGCCUGGGAUAGCUGCGGGAAACUGCAGGUAAUACCGGAUAACGUCCCCGGACCAAAGGUGUAAUUCCGCCUGAGGAUGGGUCCGCGUCCUAUUAGCUAGUUGGUGGGGUAAUGGCCCACCAAGGCAACGAUGGGUACGAGGCGUGAGAGCGUGUCCUCGCUCACUGGGACUGAGACACUGCCCAGACACCUACGGGUGGCU
rnacentral:rRNA from 1 species